rnacentral:snoRNA from 1 species
AUCCUUUUGUGGUUCAUGAGCGUGAUGAUGGGGCUUCAUGCUCGCGUGUGGGAUGUGCCUCUCUCAAGCCUUGUUAUGACAUCACGUUACCUGUCUGAUG